UACGUAGGGUGCGAGCGUUAAUCGGAAUUACUGGGCGUAAAGGGUGCGCAGGCGGUCUCGUAAGCUGGGUGUGAAAGCCCCGGGCUUAACCUGGGAAUGGCAUUCAGGACUGCGAGGCUUUGAGUGCGGCAGAGGGAGGUGGAAUUCCACGUGUAGCAGUGAAAUGCGUAGAGAUGUGGAGGAACACCGAUGGCGAAGGCAGGCUUCUGGGCCAGCACUGACGCUCAUGCACGAAAGCGUGGGGAGCAAACAGG
rnacentral:rRNA from 1 species